UACGUAGGGUGCAAGCGUUGUCCGGAAUUAUUGGGCGUAAAGAGCUCGUAGGCGGCCUGUUGCGUCCGCUGUGAAAUCCCGGGGCUCAACCCCGGGCCUGCAGUGGAUACGGGCUGGCUAGAGGCAGGCAGGGGAGAACGGAAUUCCUGGUGUAGCGGUGAAAUGCGCAGAUAUCAGGAGGAACACCGGUGGCGAAGGCGGGUCUCUGGGCCGAUACUGACGCUGAGGAGCGAAAGCGUGGGGAGCAAACAGG
rnacentral:rRNA from 1 species